ACAAAGGUCCUUUUCAGGACCACCCAACACUUCAACUAAGAGUGUU
rfam:Larimichthys crocea isolate SSNF unplaced genomic scaffold scaffold1998, whole genome shotgun sequence.